rnacentral:sRNA from 1 species
AUGUAAGUGUUUAAGAAAUUUAAGAUUACAUAUACAAUUAUACACUAUAUAGUUAAUAAUUAUAGGAUAAUGGCACGAAAAGUUUGUACCGAACCGCAUCAUAUCACAUAUGUAAACAAUAUUUUUCAUGAAUGAAUCUUUUGAAUUCUAAUUAAUAUGAGUAGACAAAAAAAA